CAAAGAAUGAGUGAGUUGGCUGGGUGGGCGGUAAAGGACCCCCAGAGACCCUCAAGAGGGACACAUGGGCACUGUCCACUUGGUUGGGGCUCAGGAGACGGCAGGCAUUGGCAGGAGGUCUCAGCAUCACCCUGGGGCUUCCUGCCCACAGCAGCCUCUCUGAUGGAAGGAGGUGGCUGUGAAGUUGCCUGUCCUGCGCCACCCACCCCUUAAAACCAGACAGUAGGUGCCAGGGUCCUUGCUCGGGCCCAGCCCCAGAUGUCCUGGGAGACAGAGCCGGCCUUGGCCCUGCUUGUUUGAACUUCAGAGGGCUGGGGGAAUGGCGGAGGGAGCCUGCCCAGCAACCUGAGGGAGAUACCCAGAUGGUGGCCCGGGCUGCCUCCCAGCCUCCCGGCAAAGCUGCCUGGACUCCGCUGUCUGCAGGGCCCUGGGCUCUGGGGUUUGGCCGCCAAAGUGAGAACAGCAUGGCCCCUCAGAAACUGCCUCUCUUCUCCCCAGUUUUGCUGGCCCACGAGAAACUCUCUGUUCCUGUCACGUGCAAAAUCCGUGUCUUCCCGGAGAUUGACAAGACCGUGAGGUACGCCCAGAUGCUGGAGAAGGCCGGCUGCCAGUUGCUGACGGUGCAUGGACGCACCAAGGAGCAGAAGGGGCCCCUGUCGGGUGCAGCAUCCUGGGAGCACAUCAAGGCCGUGCGGAAGGCUGUGGCCAUCCCUGUGUUUGCUAACGGGAACAUCCAGUGCCUGCAGGACGUGGAGCGCUGCCUCCGGGACACGGGUGUGCAGGGCGUCAUGAGCGCAGGUGGGCAGGGCCCAGGACAGCAGCCAGGGCCCCAUGCACACGGCCUGAUACCACCGCCCAGCUCGGUGCCUCCCACUGCCUACUGCCCUCCCCAUGGUGCUGUUUGCAGAUGGUGUUCAUCGAUCCCAGUCUGCUCUGAUGGGCCUGAGCUGGCCUUGUCCCUUGUGAGGUGGCACAGAAGGGUGUCCUGAGUGUCCCAGGCCUUCCUGUGCCGUCCACCUAGAGCAACCCACGAGGUGUCCUUCCCUGCUCCUCCUCCCACAGAGGGCAACCUCCACAACCCCGCCCUGUUCGAGGGCCGGAGCCCUGCCGUGUGGGAGCUGGCCGAGGAGUAUCUGGACAUUGUGCGGGAGCACCCCUGCCCGCUGUCCUACGUCCGGGCCCACCUCUUCAAGCUGUGGCACCACACGUGAGUUGCCCCCUAAGGCAGAAGCCACGUUGGAGGGCUGCCCAGGCAGAUACAGUCAGAGCCUACCUGGGGCAUUUUGCAAGUUUUGUCAAAACAACUUGCUGCUAAGUCAGGUCUUGAGGGGCUGGGGUGACUUAGGAGCGGAGUUGGGCAGGAAGAGACACAGGUCCCCGUGUGCCCAGUGCUCAGCCGGGGGCCUGAUGGUGGAGCCAGGAGCCCAGCCUGCGUGACAAGGCCUCUGUCUCAGGCUGCAGGUGCACCAGGAGCUGCGAGAGGAGCUGGCCAAGGUGAAGACCCUGGAGGGCAUCGCUGCCGUGAGCCAGGAGCUGAAGCUGCGGUGUCAGGCAGGCGCUGGGGCUGGUGGGAGCCCGGCCUUGCGGGGGGUGAGGGGCUGGGGCCAUGACCAGGGCCUUGGGCUUUUGCAGGAGGAGAUAUCCAGGCAGGAGGGAGUGAAGCCCACCGGCGACUUGCCCUUCCACUGGAUCUGCCAGCCCUACAUCCGGCCGGGGUGAGAGCCCAGCCAGCCCUGGGCGGGGAUGUGCACCAAGGUGUGGGCUCCACCCUGUGCCCACAGUGCUGCGCCUGCCCUGCUUGUCCUCAGCCAUUAUGGUCAGUCAGCUCCUACCCGAGGGAAAGGAGGAGGGAGGCCUCGGCUUCGAGCAGCACACACCUUCCACGUGCCCCUCGGUGUCCUUGGUGGAGGGUGCUGGUGGCUCAGCUGUGUCCUCCCUGAGUGGACACUCGGAUUUUAAAUCUUUUCUUCCAUAAGAUACUUCUCUGAGUUCCUCUGAUCCUGGUGGAUUUGCCCGUGGGUCAAGAGGUUGACCCCAGCUUCCGCUAGGUUCUCAGAGGUAAGGCCAUCUGUGGCCACAGCCCUACCUGGAGCUGGUGGCUCAGAGCUUGGGGCUGCCCGAGCUGCGGACUCCAUCUCAGAGGCCCCAGAUCCCUAGUGGCCACUCCUGAGUGGGCUGCCCAUGCUCCUCACAGCAACCGCACUCGCCACGGCCGCCUGGCCCCUCCUUAACCUGGGGCCUCACCCGGACUCAGACCUGUGUGGCUGUGGCUGCUGGGCCCCUCUCACGGUGUCCUUGGGCUCUGCCCACUGCCCUCCCCUCAGGCCCAGGGAGGGGAGCAAGGAGAAGGCGGGUGCGCGCAGCAAGCGGGCCCUGGAGGAGGAGGAGUGUGGCACGGAGGUCCUGUCCAAGAACAAGCAAAAGAAGCAGCUGAGGAACCCCCACAAGACCUUCGACCCCUCUCUGAAGCGUAAGUGCUGCUUCCGCUGAUGGGCCCGAGAGCCUCUUCAUCACCCCCAUCCUCCCUGUUGCCAGUAACAGGAACCCAGACUUGGUCAACAAGGCUCAAGGCCCAGAGCUGGAAGCAGACGCCUGGAGGGCUUGGCAGAGUGGUCAGCCAGACUUGGGGUCUGAGCACGGGGACCCUGUGCAGGCCGCAGCCCGUGCAUGUGGGACAUGGGCUCAGUGAGUCAGAUGAGGCUGUGGGACAAGCCCUUCAGCCAGGUGCCACCCAGGUGGCCACCGAGGGGCUCGUCUACAGCUCAGGGCCUCGGGUCCCUGCGGCUGUCCCUGCCCAGCCUCACACAGGACACCUGAGCAGCUGCUGAGAUGGAGGCUGGGGUCCCCAGGAGUGUGUGCAUGGGUCUUGUUGCUGGGCCAAAGGCACGGGAUGAGGCUGCUCACCCCUCUCCUCUUAGCCACCAGCGGCAAGGCCUCAGCCCAGUGCUGUCUCCCCUGAGACCCCUGGUGGCCGCUGGAUCCUGGGCCAGCCCAUCUGGGCCCUCAACAGGUGGCAGCCUCCCAGGAGAUCUCUGACAGCUUUACAAGCUGCAGGGGAGACCAGCGAUAACCCUGAAACCUUCCCAUGUAACCCCCAGGGCGCUGGCCAGUCCAAGAGCAGCUGCCACAUCAGCCUGGUGCCAGCAGUCCCUGCUUGCCACACUGCCCACCCGCCCCCCAGGCCACUGCAUGAGGCAGCUGGGAGAGGCAGGAAGUGGGGCUUCGGGCUGAAUUCUUGAUUUGACCCUUCUUGGCCCUUUUGCUUGGGAGACCUGGAACUGAAGGGCAUGGAACCCCCCUUGGACCCUGUGGGCGGGAAAACCACUCCCCUUGUCCCGGCCUGGGAGUGGGACAAAUAAGGCUGUUCGUCCCACGGGGGCCCCCAGCCCACCUGCUUCCUAUCCGUUUCCUGCAGGAUGGUGCCCCCUGCAUCCCCUCACCCAUCGCUCAUGGAAGGAAAAGCAGACGUGGCCAGCCUGCAUCCUCUUCCUUCCCCGAGCCUCCUGGCCUGGCUGGCCACAGCUGGCAUGGACGCCAUCAGCAGGCUCCGGGCAGGCAGACGGGGCAGCGCCCACAGCCAGGCCACCCUGGCCCUCACUCACCAGCACCCUUUUGUUCUUUUCCUAGCAAAAUAUGCAAAGUGUGACCAGUGUGGAAACCCAAAGGUGAGUGGGUUCCGGCUGCAUGCCACCAAGGCUUCAGCUCCGGGGGUGGGCAGGGUGGUCUCCGCACUGCUUGCGGUGGCAGGUCUGGUGCCCACCCAGCUGGGUUUGCAACGUGGCCCAAGGUGGCGUGGAUGCCUCAGGACGGCCCCUUGCUUCCAGCCAAGCCCCUGCCCAGGCCUGGAGUGGGAAUGAGUCUGGGUGGGUUGGGGUGAGGGAGAGGCAGCUGGCUUGGGAGCAGUUCCCAGGGCUGCAUCCAGGCUGUGGGCAUCUGGCAGAGGCUUCCCCAGUGGGGCUGCUCCCCUGCUGGCCAGCCUGGCCCUGGGAGUGGUGCUGGCCACAGGCUCCCGAGCUUUCCUGUGCCCAGGGCAACAGAUGUGUGUUCAGCCUGUGCCGCGGCUGCUGCAAGAAGCGAGCCUCCAAAGAGACUGCAGACUGCCCAGGUCACGGAUUGCUUUUUAAAACCAAACUGGAGAAGUCUCUGGCCUGGAAAGAGGCCCAGCCUGAGCUGCAGGAGCCUCAGCCGGCAGCACCCGGAACACCAGGUGGCUUCUCCGAAGUCAUGGGCAGUGCCCUGGCCUGAAGGCCCAGAACCCCCACCCCCAGGACUGCUGCUGGAGCCUGGACACGUCCUACUUAAGAAAAUGCCUUUUACUCAGGGAAUCUCCUGCUACUUAAUGUGGAAAGACACGCCCAUGUCCCCCUUUGGCCCACUCUGGGGGCCUGGAAAUGCUGCAGUGGGGAGCAGGCCCCAGGCUGGACCUGCCCUGUCCUCAGCACGCGUGUGCAAAAGUGAACAAUAAAUCAUUUCAAAGAUG
rnacentral:sRNA from 1 species